UCUAAGUUUCUAUGUCUAACGUUUGACUAUGCAUUUUAUAUAAAUUUUUUUUAUAAUUAGUAUUUUCAUUGUUGUUAGAUAAUAAAACAUGAAUAAUACUUUACGUGUGACUUAUCUUUUUAAUUUUUUUUAUAAUUUUUUUUAAAUAAGACGGACGGUUAAACGUUGAACACGAAAAUCAAGAAUUGAGUUAUU
rnacentral:pre_miRNA from 1 species